CAUUGUGGCCAUAUCUUUAUAAUCUUGGUCACUGCUGCAGAGUGCUUCAAUCUACUUAAUCUAAUCAUGAGCGUGCCUGGUUAGUACUUGAAUGGAAGACCAAUUGAAAGACCAGGGGCCGCUAUUC
rnacentral:rRNA from 12 species